CGCGCGCUCAACCUGGGACUUGUAGUUUUCUUCGCAGCGCUUGUGGCGGCUCCUUCAAGUGCCUCUCGCCAAGAAGCCACUUCAUAGUGAAAAUAUUGACCGCCGGUCCCCGACCGAGACACCGCGAACCGCUGCCCGUCGUGUGCUCCGCGCAAAGGUGCGAACAGAUGACGGUGCCGUGUGUUCGCGCACUACAACGACCAACGUCGCCCCUAAUGAAAGCGAGGCAGUGUAAACACAACUCCAGGAACAUGAAAAGAUCGGGUGACAGUGAGGGGGAGAAGAGAAGAAAGAGGCGGAGGCUACUGCAGGAGUUGGGAGACCAGAAGAUCCCCUUUCUGGGACCUUCAGAUCGGGGCUUUCAGCAACUGUGGGACUCCAGUUACUCCGGCCUGGUCCUCAAGAAAUCCUGCUCGCUGCCCACUGAGCUCCAUGGCCGGGUGCAGGCAGCUCUGCUCACCCUGAGAAGGAAGGGCUGCCUCCUGAGGGAUCUGGUUCGUGUCCGUGACCGAGAUGUGUUCACCGCCGUAUCCCGGGCUCUCUUGGGUGAGCCGGGCCACACCUAUCGCUACCUGGACACUCGGCUCUUUGCCAUCCCCUGGCACAGUGAGGACGUGGACGUCAAAGGACAAAACUGUUGUGACCCUGACUUGAGGGCUGCUUGCAAGGCAUUGUGGGAGCUUAACACCUUCUUCUGCUCUGAUGUGUCUCAGCUGAAGGAGGGAGACAGACUAACACAGUGCGUGAAGGGAGAGGCAGAGGCCAAACAGAGUGAAGAGGGGGACACAGAGUCUAAACACAGUGAAGACUCCAAGAACAGUGAAGGAGGGGACUCUGAGUCCCGACAAAGUGAGGAGGGGGACACAGAGUCCAAGCACAGUGAGGAGUGGGACAUUGAGUCGAAACACAGUGAAGAAGGUUGCUCCGGGAUGAAACAAGAAGGAGAAUGGGAGACUGGGUCCAAACACAGCAGUGAGGAGGGAGAGUCCUCCCAGGUUAAACCAGGGGAGGCCAUCGUCGGCACAGAGACUCAAACGUUGGGACUGGGGCCCCAAGAGAAACCUGUGGCCCAACUCAAGCACAGCUUGUCAGAUUACCACAUUGAGGACAAGGAGGAGCAGGCGAGCGAGCAGGGCUGUUCCCAGCCGAGUCCUCCGCAGGUAUGCACCGGUCCGGUCAAGUUCAAUGUCACCUUACUCAACUACAUGGACCCAGCAGCUAUGAGCCAGCUUAAAGAGGAGCCUUACUAUGGCAUGGGGAAAAUGGCGGUAGGGUGGCACCACGAUGAGAACCUCAUCACUCAUUCGCCAGUGGCUGUUUACAGCUAUAGCUGUCACGAUGAUAAAGGUGAGAGCAGUGAGGGGGGCAGCGCUGAGAAGGCGUUUUGGAGGAUUGGGCUCAAGGUAGCCUGGGACAUCCACACACCUGGCCUGAUGCUGCCGCUGGAGUCUGGAGACUGCUACUACAUGCGAGAUGACCUGAACUGUACCCACCAACAUUGUGUCCUAGCUGGAGAAACGGCACGCUUCAGCUCCACACACAGAGUGGCCGAGUGUUCCAGUGGGACCCUGACCUACAUCCAGUCACAGUGUCAGGAGGCCCUGUCCAACCUGCACACUGACCCAGAGACCGGCUCCCACAGCCUGCUGGCCCUGCUGCCGACAACACUACGGCACUGUGAGGAGAUUCACAAUGAGGUGGAGUUUGAGUGGCUGCGGCAGUACUGGUUUCAGGGCCAGCGCUACACCCGCUUCUGCAGCUGGUGGUCCAGUCCGAUGGAACAGCUGGAGAAGGACUGGAGGCUCAUGGAGACGAUGACGAUGCUCUUCCUGGCGUCGGUGGAGGACGAGGGCCGAGCCGAGGAGGGGAGGAGGGAGAUGGCAGAAAUCUUGCUGUCUGCCCUGACAGACAGACACCAGCAAAGACAGACAUGGAGAGACAGGUGCCACUCAAGUCUGGCCCAGACGUUACCCCCCGAGGAGGCCCCAGUGGACCGGCCGUUCUGGGGUGUGGAUGACCCCGGCAUGCCGCUGCCCUUUGAUCUGGCUGACAUCAUCAACAGAGUGGAGUCGCUGCUCUGGAGGUGGGCCCAAGAUGUCUAAGUGUGGAAAUGUGCUUAUGUACAUGUUGUGUACAUGUAGAGCUCAUGAAGCAUUUAUUCGCUCACAGGAUGUAAGGGAUGGAUAGAGGAUUUGAGAGAGACCAGAAUUAAAAACCCACCAGCUCUUCUGAAUGUGGGGGGGCCCCACAUCAGCUGAGGGAACGGACCACUGAAGACACCACCGUGUUUUGAUCCCGCAGAUAUCAAUUUCCUUUUGAUCGGGGCAUCUACAUCUACCCCCCUCCCCCCCACCCCACCCCACCCCACCCAUCCAACCACCCACUCAACCCCAAUCCACCCUCCACUCCCUAUCGCAGCCACGCCAUCUUUGAGUCGGCUGGAAAAGGAAACCAGACCACCACAGUAGAACCACAAUAGUGCUUCAGUAACGUGCUAACAACGCCAGCUUAGCGACAAGCUACUAGUGUCACAACGGUCUAACGAAAAAACAAUAAGUGGAGCCUGCAUUUCAGUGUUAGCAUACAUUGUGUAACUAUUUAUUAUUUCAGUGUAUUCUGUUACUUAAUCUCAUGUAACCCAGACACGCUUUUAUCAGUGGAUUGACUCAUUCUACAGUAGUCGGAGUACAGUACAUACAUAUAUGCUUUCUAUCUGUCACACAGUGUUAUAAUACAGUAUCUAAUGGUAAAAAAAAAGAAAAAAAAAGGAACAAAGAAGACAACUCACUUUGCUCACAUGGUAUUGCAUUCUUCUUCACUUGUGUAUAGUUACCCCUUUUUAUUGUGUUCAACGGUGGAACGAGACCAAAGAAAGAUUUUUGAGUAGAAAGUUACGAAUGUCACCCAACGGAAAACAUGAAGAAUGUUGUUUAGUGUUUACUGUGCGAUGGCGUGCUCGUGCCAUACCGAUGCGUGUUUGUGUGUGAGCGUGAUAGUGUGUGUGUGUGUGUGUGUGUGUGUGUGUGUAUGUGAGCCUGUAGGCAGCCUGCCAGUUGUUUGUUCUUGAAGAUAUGCAUAUGGAGAAACAGAGACUAGCAGCGGGGCCCCUGUGCUUCUGCUCUGAUGAAAGGCAGCGCUGAUAGGAGUGACCCCGGAACACAACCGCCGUUUCUCAUAAUUACAGCUGUUCAAUCGCUUUUAAUUACUCUUAAAGUGUGUAGAGCACCACGUUCCCCUGUAAUGCUGCGGGCCAUCCGAGAGAGCGACAGAAAGAUCCGGCGCUUCUGACAAAAAAUUCCACUUUCAUAGAAAAAGCUGAAAGGGUGGAGAAAAGGGGGCCGACGUCAAAGCAGUGUAGCAGCCCUCCUCGUUUGAUUCCUUUUUCUCUAUCUAGUUCAUGAUGAAGUAGGGAUGCUGUUUACUAUUAAAAAUGCAGAAUGCACUCCUUUUUUUACUUCUGAAGUUUUUUCCAAGAUGUUAAUGGUUGCCAAACGCUGUUCUUCUUGCUUCUUCUUUUUGCUGCGCCUCUGUUGUUUGUUGUCGUCGGAGAGAUUUGUUUGUAGAUCGGCAGUAGCGUUGACUUGUUUGAAUCACUCUGUGCUCCCUGCGCCACAGCUUGUCUGUCUGAAGCAAUAGGAAUGGCAGUAAAAUAAAAAUAAAAAAACAGUGUUUUAUCCAACGA